AAGACAAAGAAGGAGUAUAAAGGAAGGGAGGCCAGAGUGGUUUUGAUAAGGGUUGUUUAAACACUCGGAAGAUUCCGGUACGGGACAAUGAUUGGAGACUAGCUUGAAGCUUCUGCUCAGUGUCCAGCUGCAGUAGUGCUUGAGACAAUGGUGGUGAAAGGAUCAAAAGAGGCUGCUGCAUAAAAGAAUCGAAGAAAUCUUGAUAGAUGUCAAGAAACUCCAUGGAGCCUAAUGAAUCGCACUUAUCUCCAGGGGCGAAGCUAGAAUAAUUUUUAAGGGCGGAUGAAAUUUCAAUUUUUUAUAAUCUAUAUCUUUAUAAUUUGUAAAGGAUUAAAUUAAAUUUUUAUAAUUUUCAGAUGUCAAAGUGUAAUUUUAUCUUUACUAAUUUAAAAUUUUUAAAAAAAAUUUAAUGGCAUAAA